AGGAUUAACGCUGGCGGCGUGCAUGAAACAUGCAAGUCGAGCGCGGUGUGAUGCGGGGUAACCCAAUUCACAUCUAGCGGCGAACGGGUGAGUAACACGUGAGCAACCUACCUUUGAGUUGGGGAUAGCCCUGGGAAACCAGGAUUAAUACCCGAUGUGGUCACAACAGGACAUCCUGAUGUGAGUAAAGGCGCAAGCCGCUCAAUGACGGGCUCGCGGCCUAUUAGCUUGUUGGUGGGGUAACGGCCUACCAAGGCGACGACGCGUAGCCGGACUGAGAGGUUGGCCGGCCACAUUGGGACUGAGACACUGCCCAGACUCCUACGGGGGGCUGCAGUAACGAAUCUUCCGCAAUGCACGAAAGUGUGACGGAGCGACGCCGCGUGUGGGACGAAGCCCCUCGGGGUGUAAACCACUGUCAGGGGAUAGAAAGUUCUGAUCAUCCCCAGAGGAAGGCACGGCUAACUCUGUGCCAGCAGCCGC
rnacentral:rRNA from 1 species